UAGACAGCUGCAGUUACAAGGUGCAAUGACAACCGCCCGUCGCAGCGCCCCUGAAGGGGCCCCCUCUGCCGUGAGUCAAACUCGCCCCUCCCUCACCUCCUUCUCUCUGUCAGACAGAGGGAGAGGGGGAGAGAGAGGUGCCGACAGCGUGUGCAGCUGCUCUUCAGUAAAUAAAAACAUGGAGGCGUAACUGCGGAGAGGACGAUAGAUAAUGAAGAGAAGUUAUCCUUCUGGAAGUGAAAAAAGAAAGGAAAAAAAAGGAGGAGGAAGAGAAAAGAAAACAAGAAAGCGGAUCCCUAAGGAGAUUUCUCACUUCAAAAGGUGUUGCGACACCUUCUUCAGAUACGGAUCAUGCAAGUUCUCAGCCUGCAUCUAUGCACAGUACCUGUACUGCUGCCUCCAGUACUUCUGGUACCACUGAACAAAUCACUGCUACCUCCACCAGGACAACAGAACCAGACAAGAAUGAAUACUUCAGUGAGCUCUCAGCUUCAACUAUAUGUGCAAUAAGCAAUGUUCCAUCAACUGAUGUUAUUGAUCAAGAGGAGAGAACUGCACCCCAAGGGCACACUGCAGCUCGAGCAGAAAUGCUAACAUCAGACGAUCCAGCUCAAUGGCCUGGGGUCCGUUUCACGAAGCAGGUUUAGUGAAAACUCUGAGUUUGUUAACCCUGAAAUGAGGGAAACUCAGAGUUUUCCGUUUCACAAAGCGAGGUAACUCAAACCAGAGACAGAGGGGUAACUCUAGCCUGUUUCACAAAGAGAGGUAACUUAAACUCUCGGUCAGUUACCAUAGUAACAGACUCUAUGACUCUAACCUGGUCAGGACCAGGUUUUUCUCAGUAAACCUCGAGUUUCUCUCUGUCUCCGCCCUCUUUCAGCCACACGCAUUUCAUUUCCUCAUUCAUUCAGUCAGCUGGCGAGUUUUGGUGAAGUCUAGUUCUGCCGUGUGUCAAAAUGACGUCCUUUUAUUAACGAUCCAGUGGAUGAAGGAGCAGCAUUACUGUGCAGAGAAUUAAAUAUUCGUCGGGAGAUUGUUUUCAGACCGCGCAUAGAUGUUUUGCCAUUUCCGGACAGUUAUCUUUUAGAGCGGUACCGUUUCACAUCACAGUCCAUAAUCUACAUCCAACCUAAUCUGUCCUUACAUUUACAACAUUACCAACCACAGUCAUGCUUUCACAUCCCAGCAGAUGUUGUGUGUUGCGCUGCGGUUCUUUGCAAAUGGGAGUUUUUAAUACAACGUCGGAGAUGCAGAGCACCUCAGUAAGACAACUGUAUGCAGGACAGUCAGAAAAGUGUGUCUGGCCCUGAAAUGACUUUUACCAUCUUUGUGGUUUUCCCUGGACAUAAACCUGUCAGAGCCAUCAAGGAGGAGUUCCACAGGAUUGCAGGUGAAUGAUGUAGAGAUCUGUUAAAUUCAUUUUAAAUCAUAUCCAGUUAAUGACAUUGUGCUGCAACCUCAGACUGGGAUUAGUAAUUUUAAUUUCUUUUAGGAUUUCCCAGUGUGAUUGGCUGCAUUGAUGGCACACACAUCCCCAUCACAGCUCCCUCACAUAAUGAAGCUGAUUAUGUGAACAGGAAGUCCAUUCACAGCAUAAAUGUGCAGAUCAUAUGUGAUGCUGCAUACAUCAUUUCUAAUGUGUAGGCCAAGUGGCCUGGAUCUGUUCAUGACUGGAGGAUUUAUCAUGAGUCUAACCUGAGCAACAGACUGCAGCGUGGAGAGUUUGAUGGCCUUCUGCUGGGUGACAGGGGUUACCAUGCCAACCCAGGCUGAUGACCUCAUACCCUGACCCUGAACCAGGCCCCCAACAGAACUUCAACCAGGUUCACUGCAGGAUGAGAACCCAGGUGGAGAUGACCAUAGACCUGCUGAAAGCCUGUUUCCAGUGUCUACAUCACCUCAGGGUGACUCCUGAGAGGCCUGUGAUAUUAUUGUGGCAUGUGUUGUUCUUCAUAAUAUUACCACUAUUAGAGGAGAGCAACACUCUGCCCUACAAACUGAAGACCCAGAUGAUGACCUCAUCCACCUGCAGCUAUCCAGGACAGCAGAGCAGUCAGAGACACCAUAUGCAAUAAUCACUUAAGAGUUUAAGUCACCAUCAUCACCACCACACCAAAUAAAGACAUGAUACACAUUUCAUUUGGUCUUCUUUAUUUCCUACAAAUAAAAGAGCUAGUUUAGUUCAUGUUCCAGUAGUUAACAUAAUUCACCUGUGACCUGCAUCCACCUCUAACUUGUGCUCCAGUAUUUCAAUUUCCAGAUCUGCCUUCUUAAUCUGGUGGUCCAAGUACUGCAUUUCUUUAUCUGUUUUUUGUAUUUUUCUCAGCAAGUGGAUUUUGUAUAUUUGUUUUACUGGUAACUGGGAAUACAUAAAGGACAUUAAAUUAUACAGUUGCACAUGAAUUCCAUGGACUGAACCUCUGGUGUUUACUGAACAUCCAUCUCACUGUGUCAAUCUGUGCAGUGGAAGUUGAGGAAGCAUCCUGCUGCUGUCCAGCCAUGUUCUGUUAAAAAGGAUGAGAAUGUGCAAUACUUCAGUGUAGGCUAAAUGUCACACUCUAUAUUCCACCAGAAUGUUCAGAAAUGUGAAUGGGAAGAGAACUAUCAGUAACAUACCUCUGUAUGCCUUUCUGGAUCCCCCUCUGUAAAGGCAGCAGACACAGUUUCAUCCUCUUCAUCCUAGAUGAGUGAUAUGUUUCAGUGGACUUAAACUACCAUUUGGCUAAAUCUCUGGAGUAUUGCCUACUUACAGUUACAAGGUCUGUUGUGGUGUGAAGGGGCUCCACCAGGCAGAUAGUACCAUCAGAAUCUGUUGGGCCAAAAGAAAAAAAGACCCAAAAGAGAAAUGAAUAUUUGUAUGAAUAUGCUUGAAAACAUUCCAUAUAUACAUAUACAUGGGCUACACACACACACACACACAUUACAUUUUAUAAAAGCACUUGUGUCUUGGGAUGUGGUCUCAGAGGAUGAGCUCCCUCCAGGGAUUCCCUCAGCCACUGGCCUUCCCAAAUUCUGGCUUAGGACCAGCUCCUCUGCCUCCGUUAGAGGUGGUGCUGCUGGGCCACCACCUGUUUUACGGGCAUCUCCUUUCUUUCUGUUGGCUGAGUAGAAGUCUGUGUUAGUUUAAAUAGGCUUAAUUGUUUAACAGAACAUGAUAUGGAUGCAGACAUUUAGGCUAUGUGCGGGGUAAAACCACUGCACAGUCAAACAGCCACCUAAUAUUUAGGCUACUUUACAAUGUAAAACAUGAUCAAAAUGAGGUAGCUCCAUGAGAUUAUGCCGACUUCUUACCCGUUUGAACAAUGUUUUUAUAUUUCAUCUUCAGCUGCUGCCACGUGCGCUUCACCCCCGCGGGAUUGCACCUAAAUGAAUGAACUUAAUAGUUUUCCCCUGUAAUAUUAUUGUGAUUUAAACUUACACAUUGACCCAGGCAGCAAUGUUCUCCCACACCGUCUCCCUCUCUUUUGCAGCUGCAGCGGUGCUGCACUUCUUUCUAAAAACGUGUUCAAACUCGCUAUAUAAGCGUAUUAAGAUUUCCAAUUCAAACGGUGUAGUCCUCCGCUUCCCCGUUGCCAUGGUGACUCGUCGAAUCGGCGCUCCAUUGAUACUGGCUUUUCAGAGUUGUGGUGCACGCGCUUAACUCCGGGUGAAACUAUUCUGAGUUGAUUUAACCAACUCAAAUCAGCCGUUGUGAAACCGAAAACUCUGAGUUUUCUAUCUCAGAGUAGAUCAACUCAGAGUUCAGGGUUGAACUCAGAGUUUGUUGAACCUGCUUCGUGAAACGGACCCCUGGUGUUCUCAGCAAUGUUUACACUCAAUGUUUACAUUUUUUGAGUACAUGCUAAAAUAAAAACUACAUGCAUAUAACAACUUCUUUGACCUGUGGCAAUUCCUUAUAAUGGCAAAGUAUAAUUUAUUACACCCCAUAUUUCCAUCAGUACUUCAGAGGGCCCCCUGUUACUUUUUGCUUGGGGCCCCAGGGAACCCUUGCUACGGCACUGAUCCUGCUCCAGCCUCUGCCCUUCUUCCUCCUUUUCUCUUUUUCCUUCUUUCUCCCAUUGUUCUUCAUCUGUUUGUUUUGACCUGUCUCUCUCUGGCUCCCUCUGUCUGUCACCUCUCCCUCAUGUGUCUCUCUCUCUCCCUGUCUCUCUCCCUCCUGCUUCACCUGCUUCACCUGCCUGCACUCUGUCUUGCUGAUUGCUACAAUGAGUUUCAGCUGCAGCAAUCAGUUCACACCAUUCACCUGUUCUCCACCUCACCUCCACUAUUUAAACCCUGCUCAUUCAUUCACUCCCUGCCGGAUCAUCGACCCACAUACCCUCAAAGAUUCACAUCCUACUUCUAUUCUGUUUCCCCCCACCAAGCCUGCCACCUCCGGACUGCUUUAGCCCCAUGGACUCUGUUGCUUUCCCCCCUCUUGGUUUUCCCCUUCUUGGACUCUAUUUUGCUCCCACCUGUUCAUGGAUUUUCCCCAGCCUGUCUUCCCCCUCGGUUCUCAGUUUCCCCAUGUCGUGAGUACCCCUACCCAGCUUAGUUUUUGUAAUUCAGUUCAGUUUUGUAAACUUCCAUUUUUUGUAUUUAUAGAGUUAGAGUUUUAGUAGUUGGUUAAGUUCUGUUCCCCCCAGUUACGUUCCCCACUAAUGUAUUGGUUCAGUUGUUGUUUAAAUAAAUUUUUCAGUUAUUCACCUGUCAGCCAGUUCUGUGUGUCUGUGCUUGGGUUCUCCUGCUUCCCCCACCCGUAACAGUCACUGGUGAAUCAGUACUCCUGGAUAUAACUACACCAUGAAAACAAAGAAUAUCUCAAACAAAUCUGUGAAAAGAUUGUGGAAAAUCACAAAUCAGGGGAUGUAUACAAGAAAAUUUCCAAGUCACUCAAUAUUCCUUUGAGUAUAGGAGUAACUGACUAUGAUUCAACAUUCAAAAGCAAUAACAGCAGGCAACUCCCAAGAAGGUUUUUUAUAGGCACUGUAUGUUUUUUAUCUAAACUAUUUCCAUUAUGUAGGAUUCAUGAAUGUAAAAAGCAUGUUAUAUAGAAGUCUGGCUCAAGGUUUGCCUGAGAGCGGAAAUCAGUGAAAAUCUAUUGGUUUCGCUGCAUGCAAAGUCAAGGAAUUAAUAAGAGAUCCCAAAAGGACCAGGAUCCUUGACUCUAAAUGUAUUUGAAAUCAGCAUGAUACACAGCUGCCACUAUACAUGAUGCAUCCAAAUGUAUGGGAGAACAUAACACCCAUAUGUGAUGAUCCAUUGACCUAUCAAACCUCCAGAAGGUACUUAACUGCAUUGGACCAUUUGUAGUGGGGCUGUUUCAAGUUUUAAAAAAGGUUUUAGGAUGUCUUGCUGUUUUUCUCUCCACUUAGGGAAGAAAAGUUUGCUUUUUAUGCAAGUUGCUGUAAAAAGUUGAUUUAAAGUAGCCAGCUCUGCCUCUCCUUUUCUUAAUAAUUUGAGUAUCGUGUUACAGACUGUAAUAGAACAAGUGAGACAAUUUUCUUGUAAAGGCAGGUAAGCCAUAGUAUAAAGAUGGCAACUUGCAACAUAUGUGCAAAGACCUGCAAUAAUGCAUUUGCAUAUGAUGGGCACAUGCAAACUCAUAGUUGUAUGCCUAAUUUAUCUUUCAAGUGUUGUUUUCCUGCAUGGACUCGAGUUUAUUCUAAGUCUUCAGCAUUAAAAUUUCACAUUUAUCACCACAAAUAUAGAAAGAAUCGGACUAAAGUGGCGAGUGCGGGGGCUUUAACAUGUCAUAUUGAUUUAUGUAGCACAAGGUGUGAGGAUAUCCGGGGUCUUCUCCUGCACCUGAAAAAACAUAUUAUUGAAGGCAAGAUGGUCAGAUGUCCUUUCAGACAUUGUAGCAAAACAUUUACUGUUAAGUCCAGAUUCACAUCGCAUGUGUCAAGAAAGCAUAAAGACUGCUCUGAAGAAAGUUUGACUGACUCAUUUUCAAAUCCUAGCAGCACUAGUGAUUGUUACAAUGACUGUUGUGAUAUGCCACUUGAGAAUCUCAGUCAGAUCAGUUAUGAAGAAACAGAGGUCUAUCCAGAAAAUGCAGACAAAGAACAAUUUGUCAGAAAUUUAGCCUUGUUUUGUCUUAAACUGCAAGCUAAAUUGCCCCUUCCAUCCUCUACUAUUCAAACAAUUAUUGAACACUAUCAGGAAAUUCAUGAUAUGAAUCAGUCUCACCUAAUUUGUUAUUUAUUUUUUAAAAUGGGACAGUUCGUAUUAUUGUACAUUUCCAUGUAAAUACGAGAGAUUGUAGCCAUAUGGCUAAUUGCCAUCUCAAGUCCUAUUGGCAGAUCAAAGAUAAAGAAAUUACAAUUAACAUAAAACCAUAACUGAACAAAGACCUGCAAAAAAGAAAAACAAGUGAUAACAUGUAGUGCACAUAACAGACAAAAGCUGGGAGACCAAGGCAGCUACCAAGCAGUAUUUGCAAACUUCAAGAAAAGUUGACAUCGCUUGGACUUCCUGAAGCUGACAUAAGUACUGUGAUAGAGACCCUGAAAAGUGAGGAUCUCUGCAGGACUUGCAAUACUCACACACUCAAAAUUGACCACAAGAGAAUUAAAAAAUAAUAAUAACUUCAAUUAUGUGGAGCCAGUGUCUAUUUUGUCUUGGUCAAAAUGAAUCAGGCAAAGAAUGUUUUGCACAAUAUGUCCCACUUAAAAAUACCAUUGAGUCUCUUUUGUCAUCAGAGUCGGUGAGGGAGCAACUACAGCAAGUAAAAACUAGAGUCCAGCCUGACAAUGUUGUUCAAGAUUUGUGGGAUGGGACAAAUAUUGCAAAGAAUUUGCUGCUCAAGUGCACAGUGUCUUCAUUAGGUAUAAUCCUUUAUCAGGAUUCUUUUGAAGUAGUAAACCCCCUACGGUCUGAGGGGAAAAAGCACAAGAUUUUGGCAGCAUAUCUGACCAUUGCAAAUAUUUUGCCCCACAACAGAUCAAGCACUGAUCAGAUACAACUUCUGCUGCUUUGUCGAGAACAAGACUAUAAGUACUUUGGACAGGAUCUAGUAUUUGACUUCCCAGUGAAAGACUUAAAGGAUCUUGAGCUGAAUGGAGUAACUUUGCCAGAUGGUCAGACCUGCAAAGGAACCCUGUGUGCCAUAGCAGGUGACAAUUAAGUUCGCACAACAUUGGUGGUUUCACAGAAAACUUUAGCAGGAGCUCACAUUUUUGCAGAUAUUGUGAGACUGAUCGGGAAUCAUUUCUGGCAGAUCCCCUGGCCACACACCACAUUUAUAUCAGAAACAUGCUGAGACUCAGAGUCAUAAUGUGGAAGCAAGACUGUGUUGGCACUAAAUUUAACUCCAUCUUCAAUGAGCUCUCAUAUUUUCAUGUAUGUCAGCCUGGACUACCUCCUUGUCUUGGUCAUGACCUUUUCGAGGGCAUUGUUUCAACUGAUUUGGCCUUAUAUCUCAACCAACUUGUUUCAAAGAAGAAAGAGUUCACGUAUGUUGAACUAAAUCGAUGCAUAGACAAGUUUAAAUAUCUGGGUAAUGAUGUCAGAAACAAGCCUCGUGGGGCAGGAAAACUCUCUGGACAUGCAGUGCAGAAUUGGUGUUUUUUGAGAAUGUUGCCAGUACUGAUUGGUGAUAAAAUAAAAAGCCCUGGAGACAGUGAGGUAUUGUCGUGGUUUCUCUUAGACAUCGAGGAUGUGCAGAUGUUGAAGAAAACAUCCGUUGACACUGAAUUACUUAAUAUAAUUUUAUUAUAAAGAAAUCAGCAUCUCAUCUGGCGCCAUGGUCUGCCUGAUGGAGAAUUCAAGAAGCCAAUACGAAUCUCACAGAACAAUGGAUCUGUAGUCACUCUUUUAGGUUUAGUGACGUAUGAGGUCACAACAUCUGGUUUCUAUUAGAAGACCAAGGUACAAACAAGACCCCCCUUCGAUCAGCCAUAGGCUCUGUGGGUCCCAUUCAUCAUUAUCUGGACAGUGGACCCCUAAGUCAACAUAGCAUAGAGUUUCUUGAACAGAAAAACACAUUCCAUUGUAAUGAGCUACAAAUGUCUCACUGAGGUUCCAAAUAUGAUAAGCAACUCAUAUCAGGUCAGAUACUAGAGUAUGGCAACUGAUUUUACAGCUCAGAGAAAUUGUGGAGCUUAUUUGUAAUUCCACCAUUUCCAAAGGCCAAAUAGUAUAUUUAAGAGUUCUGAUAGAUGAGUAUUUGCAUAUCAGGAUGAAGGCUUUUGGAGAUCAUCCGCUUAAGCCUAACUACCUAAAUCAUUAUCCAGAAGUUACUGCUAACUUUGGGUCACUCAUCUGUCUGUGGACAUUAAGAUUUGAAAGUGAGCAUGCUUACUUCAAGCAGUGUCCAAGAAAGCUUCAUAACUUUAAAAACCUCUGUGGAACCCUUGCCGAAAAACAUCAACUUUUGCAGUCCUUUCUAAAUGCUGGGAACCUGUUCCCAAAUCUGUUGUGGUAGACAAAAGAACUGAAUUUAUUGUGAGUGACUACAAUAAUAAGAUAAGACAGUCAGUUCCUCAUCUUAACAUUGAUCCUCGAAAUACCCUCAUUUGUCAUGAUGUGACAGUAAAAGGAACCACAUACAAGAGAAACAUGUUUGUUGUGGUAGGCCAUGAUGAUGAUGGCCUCAUUGUUGGAAAAAUCAAAAAGGAUUUAUUCAUGAGAACUCAGCUGUGUACUUUAUCACUGAGGUGUAUCAGGCUGUUCGUCAGCCUUCCAUUAAUGCCUGUCACAUUAAACGAAUGCAGGAAGCCUACUACUGUGUCAGUCAAGCAGAGCUGCUUGAUUACUACCCAUUGCCUGAAUAUUCAGUUUGUGGCAUGUCUUUCCUCAUGCUUCACCAUUCUGUCCCCACAUUAUAGAUUCAUGUCAUCCACUUGUGACAAAAUAAAGGUAAUUAUACUGACGACAUUGCCCAGCCUGUCUGAGGAUACUCAACUACAGAUUGUCAGUGUGCUUGAAAGCUCAGGUGUGGAAUCUGUAGAAUACCUCAAGUACGUGGAGCAGGAUGACAUCAGAGACCUGUUGCAUGUUGUACAGCAAAGACAACUUCUGGAGGCAGUCAAAAUGGGUAAUUAUCAAUCUUGAGUUCAUUUUCUGUCUAAUUACAGCAACAGCAAUUUGUCAUAAACAAGACUUUUUACACUUAACUUGUUGAUGAACUAAGCACAGAAUUAAGUUGUGAUUUGGACUGACCAUAAAUUGUAAGUCCUCCUAAAAGACCAAAGGCAUUUCUGUUGAUAUAGGUUUAAAUAUCCAAACUAAAAUAAAUUGAUUUGCUGUGCAAAUUUGCAAUACCUUGUGGUUAUGAUGCUGAUGAGACACAGGAGCAGAAGCGGCAACAUUUGGAGAACAUCGACAGGCAGGAAGGUAUUCGUGCUGGCGAAAGGGCAGAAGUGAUAAACCUGAUGAAAAGAACAUUCUGUCUUCAGUGUCACCAAAUCAAUCAUGCUCCAGAACAUUUUACUGAAGAUGUAAGAAUCCAGUGGCCUUACCUUUGGUAGAUACCCCUUGGGGUUACUUAGAGGUCUCAGUAUCUUAAAUGUCCGGAUAGGGCCUAGAUGCCCAUGUCUGAUACUGUUUCGAGACAUUAACUCUGUAUGUUGUCUGCAUCAGUUGCAGGUGAUGAAGUGGCAACUGGACAUUGGAAGAUCAGCACUGCAAGCCAUGUCAUCUGUGAAGACAUCCAACCAAGCUUCAUUAGUGGGCUUGCUGCAGUUUUUUCCACCUACUAUGGGUUCAACUUGCAAUACCAAGAAGAGGCUGCAAGGACACUGGAGUUUUUUCAAAGGCGUUUCAUUGGUAUCAACCCUGAGAGGGGAACAAAGGCCAGGGAAGGUGAUAUCCAAGAGGACAGGGAAGUUGGUCGAGAAAAAAAAGCAGCUACUGUGAAUCCCCAUGUGGCCACCCUAGUAAAAGGACUCAUGGACUUUGAAUGGGAAAAGCCCACUGCAGCCGGACGUUCAUGUUGACAUUUCAUGGUAACAAAUGUCAGCAUUCUGUUCAGUCAAAUAUCCUUCAGUCCAAGUGUGUCAGUUCUGAAGUUCCCGGUUUGUUCCUUAACUUGGUGUUUAUUCCACACAAUCACAAGUUGUGCCUGAUUUUGAAGGUGAUGUGCAAUUCUUAUACAGAUUGUUGACAACCUGUUUAACAUCUUCAGUUGUUCUUAUGUUCUCAUUCCAAGGCGUGGUUCCAAUGUUCUGGUUUUCCAUCCAGGCUUUAACUGACCUUGCCAGGUGGUAAGGGGCAUUGUCUUGUUGGGAAAUCCAGUCAUUCGAGGAAGGAAGGAGUUUUCCAGUUGAUGGAAGAAGACUGUUUUCAAGAGUAGCCAUGUAUAUGAUCUGGUUCAUUCACCCUUCACACAAAUGCCCUGUUCCAUCCACACUGAAACAACUGCAGAUCGUCACUGAUCUGCCCCCAUGUUUUACUGUAGGGGCAGACAGUCUGGUUUGUAGCUUUUCCAGGCUUCCUCCUAACCAGUAAUUUGGCUGGAGUGGACAUCAACUGAAAACUGGAUUCAUCCCUGAAGAGAACCUCAGCCCAAUCAUCAACAGUCCAAUCCUUGUGAUCCCAGCAAAGAGUAACCCGCUUUCCUCUGCCUUUCCUUGAUGAAGGGCUUCUUCCGUGUCCUGUGUGACUUCAGACCAACUUCAAGAAGUCGCUUUCUAACUGUCCUUGCCGAACAAGUCCCAUUUCUCAACAGUGUCCACUCAUUUUUAAGGUCCCUGGAGGUCUGACCAUGAUUCCUGGCACAGGAACGGAUGAGUGCAGUCAUCUCAUGGGGUAGAAAGACGUUUCCUGCCAUGACCACCUCGCAAUUUGGUAGAACCAUGUUGGGCUUGUUUUUUCUAGGUGUAAUGCACAGCUAUCUUGGAGAUCUUGAGUUUUUUCUCUACCCGUCUCUCACUCAUGCCAAUUUCCUGCAGUGCCAAGAUAGCUGCAUUUGUGGCUCCACAUAAUUCUUUUGUUUUAGAGUAUGUGAGAGCUUACAACUUCUGAGUUGUGCUACGGCUUGAAUGUAAGCAGGAAACCACUCUAGGCCUUUAAGUAAGUAAGUAAAGUUUACUUAUAUAACACCUUUCACAGAUGAAAUAUCACAAAGUGCUUUCUAGUAAAAGAAAAAAUAAAUAAGACAUAAAAAUACAGUAAAUAAGCCCCCACGAUAGAGCCACAUUGCUCAUAAAAUCACACACAUAAAAACACAAAUGUAAAAUCACACACGUAAAAGCCCUCGCUUAACUAAAAGCCUGCUUGUACAAAAAAGUUUUCAGCUGCUUUUUAAAGGAAUCAGCUGAGUCUAGGCAUCUUAAGGAGACAGGCAGCACAUUCCACAGUCUGGGUGCUACUGCCUGAAAGGAUCGGUCACCUCUGGUCCUAAAAUGCAUGCGGGGAACAGACAAUAAUCUCUGACCUGAUUACCUCAGUGCAUGAGCCGGUGCGUGAGGAGGAAAAAGGUCAGAGAUGUAUGAAGGAGCUUGAUUAUGGAGAGCUCUAAAAGUAAGGACCAAAAUUUUAAAAUGAAUUCUAAAAUGAAUGGGUAACCAGUGGAGGGAUGCCAAGACUGGGGUGAUGUGCGUUCUGUUGUGAGUGUGAGUUAAAAGCCGAGCAGCAGCAUUCUGUACAGAUUGAAGACGCCCAAGCUCCUUUUUAUUUAAACAGGUAAAAAGGCUGUUGCAAAAAUCCAACCUAGAACUUUAACUUGUCGGCCGGCUCUACAGCCCCUUCUCCUCGGCCUCUUUUUGGGAUUACCGGGGCCCGGGUGGUGAACAGGAGCCGGUACUCAGGUGGGGAGGGAGGGCACUCGAGGAAAAGUUUGUCUUUGAUAACUUUCCCAGCUAUCUAAAAGACUUUCCAUAGAUGCUUUAAUGUUCUAAAGUACGGCGAUCAUAAAUCCAAACAGCAGAAACACGGUAGUUAAGCGACAGGGCUGAUAUGAUGACAAAUAACACAAACACAAACCAUGAAAACUGACAAAAAUGCUGAGCAGCAGCGGCCGAACCAAGCACAGGCGCCAUCUUGUAUAUGAAAAGACUGAGCUAAUGUGUGACUCUCCCAGCCAUGUGCAGUGCUGCUUAUGACAUGAAAUGGCCUCUUAAGUACCCUGGGAAUACAAUUAAGCUUAAGCAUGUCAAAAAGGACAUAAAGUAUUAUGCAAUCAGCUGCAUUUUUGUCAUGUUCAUUGUAUCCUUCAGGUAAUAUACCUUUAGCGGUACCAGGCAUUAAAAUGAACAAAAAAUUGAACAAAACAAGGGUGGUCUGAUAUUUUUUUCCAUGACUGUAUAAUAUGAAUACAUAUAAUGUGUAAUUUAGAAAUAUUUUUUGUUUACCACCAUUCAGUCACGUUAUGUCUGUUAGCCUCACAGAAGCAGAGAGAAGCAGUUCUUCAGGUCUCCACUGAUGGAACCAGAGAGAACAGCAUCUCAUGUGACCAUUAGAAGGAUCAUGCUUCUCUGUAAUGAAGUGUUACUGGAUAAAAGACAGGCUUCUGAAAUCAAUCUACUAUGAUUUUAUUUUGUCCCCCAUGUUACUCAUAAGUAACCAUGGUGAUAAGUCAGCCAUUUCACAACAACAGCUGAACUGAAAGGUACUUUAACAACACUAGAUGGUUUAAGUACUAUAUAUGUCCAUACAGAGCUUUACAGUACUGUAACAACAUACUUGAUCUCUUCAGUCCUCAACAUGUCAACCAAACACGCACAAUCAGUGCAUACAGAGCUACAUAGAACUGUAACAAUAUAUUCAGCCUCCAACAUCAAUAUGUGUCAACAAAACAUGAGAACAUGAUAUCUCAGAUAUCAGAACAUGUGCAUUAGAAAUCAGAACAUGUGCAUUAGCACAUUUAAGUGCAAUCUAUUUCAAAGAAACUCUUUUGGCACUGUCACGCCGAACAGCAGUGAUACAGUUCUUCACUUAAAACUUCACAGCUGUCCAGCUUCGAUCUUUGAGAGCAUCUAGUGAAGCCUUGAUACAGGCUGUACAGUCAGACUUCCCUGGUACUUCACCACAGUCUAUGAAGGACUUCAGAGUUUUUUCCACUGCACGGACUUAUGUGUCCAGCUCCUCUUCUUUGAGGUUUCUAUGAAAGAAAAGAGGGGGAAAAUACAAUCAGGAGGAGAGACAAGUGAUUCAACUGCAAAUAAAUGCCUUUGCCACUGAUUUGUUGGGUCUCUGUCAAUAACUUGAGAUAGAAUGUGGUCUGGACCUGCUCUACAGAGAAACUGCUUUGAGGUAACUUUGCUAUAAUUUGAUGUUAUAAAAAGAAAAUGUGAUUUCAUCCCAUUUAAAAAGUGAAAUUUUGAUAUCAAGACAAAAACACAGCACCUGUGACCUAUUGUCCUCCUUCUUCACUUGCACAGACUGGUGCAGUACCAGUUAUGUAUUUUACAUUGUAGAAUAAAUGGAGAAUUUAAACAGGAAGCGUAGUGCUGUCUGUAGUGACUGACAGAGACUGGAGCCUGUCCCUAGGAUCUUCAAAAUCCCUGAUGUUACCUUCAACUGGUCCAACUCUGCCCUGUUUAAGUAAGAAGUACAUAAAACGAAGAGUAAUAGUUAUGCAUGCAGUGUUUGAAAUACCUUUUUUACGGCCAUCAUCGACAGUCUCAACAGGUCCCAAGUCAGCAUAUCUCGAGGAUCCUGUUAAAAUAGGGAAAUAUGUUGAUUACUGUUAAUAUCAACCCAAAAACUGUCAGCUACCUGGCAGCAAACCUUCACAGUCUGAAAGAAAGCCAGUACUAGUGUAUUUCAAUGCAUUUAGUGUAUGAAAUACCUAUUUGAAGGUCAUCGUCAGACUCAGGUGGCUGUUUUUUUGUGCCUGAGGAUACUGUUAAAGGAAUAAUUAAUAUAUUAAUUCAAGAUAAUAACUGGUAACACAUAAACUGUCUGAUUGAAAGCCAUCUACAGUAAGACUUAUAAAUAUUUAAUCACCAUUGUAACACUGCAGUUCAUAUGGGUCUGUCUGAUUGGUUGUACUGAGAGAAAACAUCUUCUAAUUAAUGAAAAGCACAACAUAUAGUGUGGGGAAUAAUACCUGCUUGAUGGUCGUCACUGUCAAACUCAGAUUGUCGUCUCUUCUUGGAGCCUGAGGAUCCUGUGGACCCUGCAGAAAUAAGGAAUAAUGAAAAUAAUGAACAAAAAAAAAACAACUAAAUUUUCUAUCUUGUCUUGGUCACACAUUAAUACAGUAUUUCUACUUGUGGCUCUGAACUUAAAGCAUCGCAUGAUUUUUAAAUGUUGAGCUACUUUUAGCUUAGAGUGCUCUGCAGUGAUGAGAGAGGUGCUAAUCAGAACCUUCAGGUGUUUGUCACCUACUUUUUCUUUACUUAAACAGGGCGUGCGCUAACUAAGUGCCAUUACUCAGUCUUUGGGUUACCUUUAGUGCCAAGUUCAACACUGCCAGGCCCAUCAGAGUUUUCUGGUCCUUCUGUCAAAAUAAUCGGAUCAAGUGCCUCAACAUUUUAUUACAGUGGACAGGACAGUACAAGCAAAAAUGAGUUUUACUGUACAUUCUGGCACCAUUACUUUUUCUUUUCAGCUUCAUUACUGAGACACUAUCCUCCCCUCUGUCAUCACUUCUUUCACUUUCUGUUCCCUUCUUUUCUUCAUCUACAGAGGUUCUGGGCUUUGUCUUUCUUCUGUAAGUCCUCUUGGACUUACUCUGUUUCAGCAAUGGAACUUUGAUAGGACUAGGUAAUUCUGAACUGCCUUCAUCUGCAGAGUCUUUCGCAGGGAUAUACUCAUCACCGCUGCUUUCAACGCAGCUGACAGAUGCAUCAGAACCAUCAGAUGUCCUGGAGAUCCGUUUAAGGUAUUCUUUGGUAAGCUUAAAAGGAGAAAAAAACAUUACCUAGUUUAGAAAAUCUUCAUUUGCCCAUAAUACACAAUUAAAACCUAAACAACCAACCCUGUGUUUUACAAGAGUAGAGUUAGCUUUGCACUGUCAAGAGCCAAGAAAAGCAAGACAGAUACAGGGUCAGAGAAGUUAAUUCCACUGAAUAUAUUAUUUUCAGGGGUACUCAAUUUAAAGCAAUGUUAACUUUGUUUUGCACUGUAAGAGUUAGAUGCCCUGCUGAUUUCAGAAUGCAAACUUACAAGUACACUGUCGGCUCUUGUCAAGGGUGGUACAUCUGGGUUAUCACCGCUAUCAGAGCUUGAAGUUUCAAGGACACAUGUAUCUGCCGAGUCUGAGCUUGACUCCUAGGAGGAAAAAGCAGCAUGUCUCAAAAGAGGAUCAAUUUUAACUUCAAUUAAAAAAUUAAAUACUGGUACAUAGAGAAGUUUUGAAAAGACUGCCACAUUGCAUUUUAUCAAACUC